rnacentral:lncRNA from 1 species
CACCACCCGACUCCGUCAACUCCUCCAUGCCGAAAGCGUAGCCACCUCCCUCCGCCACCUUAUAAGAGCCCCGGCCCUGCAGCCCUAUCCAUCCUCGCAACCGAAGCAACCCACACCUUCCACCAUACCCAACCAACCAAGCUCAAGCCCCUAACGCAGCAGCAAUGGCGGACACCAAGACGGCUGUGGUUGCUUUCCUCCUCGUCGCCCUCCUCGUGGCGUCGGCUGCCCCCUCCGCGAGCGGCUUUUGCUUCCCCGACUGCUACGACCGCUGCGCCAACGGCAAGGUCGGCAACGUGCCCUGCGCCACCAUGUGCGCCCAGGCCUGCAUCGUGCCCAGGGUCCUUCCCGACGGCAGAGACCCGACCAUGAUGCAGCCCGGCGGCAACUACUAAUAACUUGGAAAGAAAGAUGAAGAAGAAGAUAGUCGUGGUCCCAAUCUUUGCCAUGUUGUUAGGCACAUGUGAUGUGUGCUCUAACAGUAGGAAUGCUUAUUAAUAAUCGUCAAUUAUUAUUAUUAUUAUUAUUAUUAUUAUUAUUAUUAUAAUACUACGUGAAUUUUGGGACACUAGUCAGUUUCCACAUUCUUCGGUUGUUUUCUGUAACGAUGUGGAGAUUGACUGUAAGCUUUUUUUCCUGAAAUAUAUGCAUGUGUUCUUUUGUGCUGAGUUAUAUGAUUGUUCUAAUGGAUCUAUCUACGCUCUAAAGAAGACAAAUCCAUUUCCUGCCAGCAGAGACCAAGCAUGGAUAGCAUCAACUUCGUCCAAGAGCUCUGCAAUCCCCUCACCUUCUUCUCAUGCUCCUAGUUUGCUUUCGUUUCAUUCAGAUUACAUGACUCUGCGAUCCUUUUUGCUACAAAAAUUGGAUCGGAUUCCAACUGCACUCGGUGCAUUGAGACAGAUUCAUCUGCCAAGAGCAACAAUUCCCAUUGAUGACAGCUCUGGCAGAGGCAAUCAUAGUGGUGCCAUCUUGCAAUCUAUGAUGAUUGUCCUGUUCAUGAGAUCUGGAAGCAAUGCAUUUUCUCAAGGCCAUUCUCUCUCUCUCUCUCUCUGAGAGUUGCCUUACAACUCUCUACUGAGAGAUGUCACACCACGUCAUGAACCCUAUUCACGUCCGUGAUAUCUAAUUGUUUAGAACGUAUGACACACCAGUCUCUGCAAAAUAACCAAACGCAGUGGGUUCCUCUGUUGUCUUGUCUGGCAUGGGAAAUCUGGCAUCGACGCAGGAGCUCAAUCCCAAGCCUUGGGAUUGUCGAUGGAACUUGUGCCACUGUCAUUACAGGUGCUUCAUGUGCGAGAACUCAUCCUCUAACUUUUCCUCUCAUGGCGAGCAUUCUAAUGCAACUUUUCCUCUCGUGUGAAGCUUGGCAAUGGCUUUGACUCGACCUAUGUUCUGUGUCGUUGUUGUUUUCUUCCUAUCUUUCUCUUUCUUGUUUGUCCAGAUAGUUGAAAUCGUCUCCGUUUUGCUUUUGUUUGUGUGGAAUGUGGCAGAGAAGUUCUGCAACGAUGCCUGCGUGGAGCGGUUUCUCACAUCCAAGGGGGGCAUCGUGAAGAAGAAGACGGCGAAGCAGCUCAGAACCGCCCCUUCUUCCAGAGACAACAUUGGAACUGGUAGCUUCCAUUUUACUCUCUCUUUCUCUCUCUUUCCAUAUCGUUCCAU